rnacentral:rRNA from 1 species
UACGUAGGUGGCAAGCGUUGUCCGGAUUUAUUGGGCGUAAAGCGAGCGCAGGCGGUUGCUUAAGUCUGAUGUGAAAGCCCCCGGCUCAACCGGGGAAGGGCAUUGGAAACUGGGGGACUUGAGUGCAGAAGAGGAGAGUGGAAUUCCAUGUGUAGCGGUGAAAUGCGUAGAUAUAUGGAGGAACACCAGUGGCGAAGGCGACUCCCUGGUCGGUAACUGACGCUGAGGCGCGAAAGCGUGGGGAGCAAACAGG